AGUGAACGCUGGCGGUAGGCCUAACACAUGCAAGUCGAACGGCAGCACAGUAAGAGCUUGCUCUUACGGGUGGCGAGUGGCGGACGGGUGAGGAAUACAUCGGAAUCUACUUUUUCGUGGGGGAUAACGUAGGGAACCUUACGCAAUACCGCAUACGACCUACGGGUGAAAGCAGGGGAUCUUCGGACCUUGCGCGAUUGAAUGAGCCGAUGUCGGAUUAGCUAGUUGGCGGGGUAAAGGCCCACCAAGGCGACGAUCCGUAGCUGGUCUGAGAGGAUGAUCAGCCACACUGGAACUGAGACACGGUCCAGACUCCUACGGGAGGCAGCAGUGGGGAAUAUUGGACAAUGGGCGCAAGCCUGAUCCAGCCAUACCGCGUGGGUGAAGAAGGCCUUCGGGUUGUAAAGCCCUUUUGUUGGGAAAGAAAAGCAGCAGGUUAAUACCCCGCUGUUCUGACGGUACCCAAAGAAUAAGCACCGGCUAACUUCGUG
rnacentral:rRNA from 1 species